ACAGAAUUUCGCGAUUUUACGCUCAGCCGCGGAAUUGCGGUCGUUACGCGUCCCCGCUUGAAUAAUGCCCGCGAGUAGAUAUCGCGCUCGCCGAGCACUUAGUCCGGUCGCGUCUGGCGAAUAAAGAGCACAGUUACGCACAUGAAUGUCUCGGUGCCGGAUGAAAUACCGCCCUGUUAUCCGACUCGCGCGAGUCUCUCUCUCCGCAUUGAACGUGAGAGUAAAGUUGCAAGGUGUAUACUUGACGCGGGCGAUAACUUCGUCACGGGAUCGAGCACCUCCUCUUCCACGCAUCGUGCUGAUGUUCCAUUCCAUUCUCGUUCGGUCGGAAACGACGCGACAGGAUCGUUUGAUCGCCAGUUAGAACACGCCGUCUGUAAAUGGAGCUUCUUUAUUGGAGAGAGGUUCCGCUCGCGCGAGGAUUAAACCCAUAUUCGUUUAAGAAUAGUAGAACAGUUCAUUGAUUAAACAUUGCUUCAAUAUUGAUUAUAUCGGAAGUGCAUUGGCCAACGUUUCCCAAUGGAAAGUCGAUAAGGCCAUGGAAUAAAUGCACAUGUUGCACGAUAGCAAUUAUGCAGAGGAAAGUCCUCUAUCACGAGAUAUGGUCCUAAUAUGAGACAGGGUUGCUGCUAAAUUAAGAGAAACUUUUUUCCUGGGUGCAUAUUGUGUUAAAUAAGAGGAGGCGUCCAUCUUGCAAUAUUGGAAUGUUGGGAUUAGAUUUACGUUAUUUCCCAAUAUUGCGCCAAUGUAUUGUUGCGUUACCAGAGAAACUUUUUUCCUGGGUGCAUAUUGUGCUAAAUAAGAGGAGGCGUCCAUCUUGCAAUGUUGGAAUGUUGGGAAUAUUGGAUUUACAUUAUUUCUCAAUAUAUUGUUGCGUUACGAGGGAAUCUAUAUAACCGGAACGAAAUGGCACGAUUCUAAUACUCUGGAACACAGUAUCCCAAGAGGGAAAAGAAGGGGAGAAAGAGAGUGGGCAAAAUCUCGCUUCUCGACCGACGAAAUAUAAUAACGUUAAUCCGAUGCCAUAUAGCGCGCAGGUAGCGGCACCGCCACAUAUUCCGGCAGACGCGACUCCCGCAGCGUAAUGCAACCUUGUUGCAUUGAAUAACCGCGGGAUCCCGUACGUGCACAGCGGACCGAAACGUCGUCGCGCCGCAUGUAGCCAUAUAUUCGCCUCACGGCGUCGCCCACGGCAUAAUCCUGACACGCGCACAAAUUUCCUUGCCUGCCUCCUGCGAGCUCGCGGAUAACUUUUCCGUUUCCAGGGGAAUGCUAUACGGCGCCGCGAUUGCGUUCUCGACCCUAGCGGGAUUAAGGAUGCGGUCCCGCACAAUGCACGACGCUCGGCGUGUUUAGUAUUUAGCAAUGCUCGUAAGUUUAGGAUUACGGAUCCACGGAGUUCGUCCUGCCCACUGCGAAAGAUGUAAACCGAGACAUUGUGGAACAUUUAAUGCCCAAUAAAACGCGCUCAAUUCACCGGGGACCAAUCCGCCAACUCGCCGAGGAUUUAUAAUGAAGUCUCUCUUACGGUACAGAGACGUUUUUGCUUAAUUAAAGUGCUUUUACAGUAUAUCACGUUUCUUGAAUACGGUAACUGCUGGAGUCACGCUUAUUGCAAAUGGUAAUUUAGUAUGCAAGGGGCAUUGGGUCGGAGCAAUUCAUAGUCGAUUUCCUUUGAACAUGGAACUGUAUUUAUGCGGCAUUGAAUAUGUACCGAGCAGAGUAUUGUUAAAAAUAAACGCGACAAACGCUCGUCGUAAAAGCAAACGAAGGGAGGCCAAGUAUACGAGCAUUACUAGGUGUUGUAAAUACAGUACCGUGCCUAAUUAUUAUGGACAGCUUGCACAGGUGAUAUUUUCUUAGAUCUCAACUACUUGAAUGGCAAUUGAAACGAAUUAUACACAAGUAUAUUACUUUACUUCUGUAUAAAGUUUUAAUGAGUUAACCCUCGUUGGGUUCACUUCCUGAAAAUCGCGUAAUGUGGGAAUCACAGGGACCCCUACAACUUUUAUUCGGGUCAUUUUCCGUGAAAGUGUGUACUUCUGGAGAUAAUACGGAGGCCCCUUCUUUCCGAAUACCCUGUAUACUAGUCUUACUCUCUAAAGUUUUUGAAACAAAAAUAGAGCUUUGGAGUGAAGUAUUUCUUCCAAUGGAGUUCCAAAAACUUUAGAGGGUACAACAUCUUCCGCGUGGCUGUCAACAAUGCCCACGCCCAGAAAAAUGUUUGUUUGAAUUUGGACCUCACUAGACUUUUAUUUAAUUUCAAAGAAAUGAUUUCUUU